rnacentral:rRNA from 1 species
UACGUAGGAGGCGAGCGUUGUCCGGAGUUACUGGGCGUAAAGCGCGUGUAGGCGGCUACGUGUGUCGGGCGUGAAAGCCCACGGCUCAACCGUGGAAGUGCACCCGAAACUGCGUAGCUAGAGUCCUGGAGAGGAAGGUGGAAUGCUUGGUGUAGAGGUGAAAUUCGUAGAUAUCAAGCGGAACACCGGUGGCGAAGGCGGCCUUCUGGACAGUGACUGACGCUGAGACGCGAAAGCGUGGGGAGCAAACAGG